rnacentral:rRNA from 1 species
AGAGUUUGAUCCUGGCUCAGAACGAACGCUGGCGGCAGGCCUAACACAUGCAAGUCGAGCGAGGGGUAACCCUAGCGGCGGACGGGUGAGUAACGCGUGGGAACGUGCCCUUUGCUACGGAAUAAGCCCCUGGAAACGGGGAGUAAUACCGUAUGAGCCCUUAGGGGGAAAGAUUUAUCGGCAAAGGAUCGGCCCGCGUUGGAUUAGGUAGUUGGUGGGGUAAUGGCCUACCAAGCCGACGAUCCAUAGCUGGUUUGAGAGGAUGAUCAGCCACACUGGGACUGAGACACGGCCCAGACUCCUACGGGAGGCAGCAGUGGGGAAUCUUAGACAAUGGGCGCAAGCCUGAUCUAGCCAUGCCGCGUGAGCGAUGAAGGCCUUAGGGUUGUAAAGCUCUUUCAGGGGGGAAGAUAAUGACUGUACCCCCAGAAGAAGCCCCGGCUAACUCCGUGCCAGCAGCCGCGGUAAUACGGAGGGGGCUAGCGUUGUUCGGAAUUACUGGGCGUAAAGCGCACGUAGGCGGACUGGAAAGACAGGGGUGAAA